UUGCGAUAUGCAACUAAGAUUGAGAGCCACUGACCGAGAGGGUUUCCAUCAGACCUGGUAGAGCCCAUUGAUGUUGGAGGAUCUUGGAUGUCGUGUCUGAUAGAGAAUCACCGGUACAUAAGUAAUCAUCCCAUUCAGAUAAUAAAAGAGAUAUGAUGUCAUUCCCCAAGUCUGGACAAGGAAUAUUUUGGAGAGGGAAGAUAAAUCGUUGAAUUUGGAGGAAAAAAAUGAUGUCUUUGGCU
rnacentral:lncRNA from 1 species